rnacentral:rRNA from 1 species
GACGAACGCUGGCGGCGGGCUUAACACAUGCAAGUCGAACGGAAAGGCCCUGCUUGUGUGGGGUGCUCGAGUGGCGAACGGGUGAGUAACACGUGAGUAACCUGCUCUUGACUUUGGGAUAACUUCAGGAAACUGGGGCUAAUACCGGAUAGGAGCUGCUGCUGCAUGGUGGGGGUUGGAAAUUUUCGGCGGUUGGGGAUGGACUCGCGGCUGAUCAGCUUGUUGGUGGGGGAGUGGCUUACCAAGGCUUUGACGGGUAGCCGGCCUGAGAGGGUGACCGGCCACAUUGGGCCUGAGAUACGGCCCAGACUCCUACGGGAGGCAGCAGUGGGGAAUAUUGCACAAUGGGCGGAAGCCUGAUGCAGCAACGCCGCGUGCGGGAUGACGGCCUUCGGGUUGUAAACCGCUUUCGCCUGUGACGAAGCGUGAGUGACGGUAAUGGGUAAAGAAGCACCGGCUAACUACGUG